CAAUGCCUCACCCUGCUUCGGCUCGCUCAUGGUGCACGCACCCACUGACCUGCGCCCACUGUCUGGCACUCCCUAGUGAGAUGAACCCGGUACCUCAGAUGGAAAUGCAGAAAUCACCUGUCUUCUGCGUCGCUCACGCUGGGAGCUGUAGACCGGAGCUGUUCCUAUUCGGCCAUCUUGGCUCCUCCCCCGGGACAAUUAUUUUCUAUGGAAAUAAAACUAAUUCUUGAGGCAGGAUCUCUCUAUGUUGCCAGAGCUAGCCUUGAACUCCUGGGCUCAAGCAAUCAUCCACCUCUUCCUCCCAAAGUUCUGAAAUUACAGGUGAGAGCUAGGACGGGCAGCCCUGUAAUUCUUGGGAUGAAGAACGAGGUCACAUCCUUUGCAGGAAUAUGGAUGGAGCUGGAGGCCAUUAUCCAUUGCAAACUAAUGCAGAAACAGAACACUUAAGACCGAAUGUCCUCACUUGUAAGUGGAAGCUAAAUGAGAACACAUGGAUGACAGAAUGGAACAACACACACUAGGGCCUGUCUGAGGGUGGAAGGUGGGAGGAGGAAAAGGAUUAGGAAAAAUAACUAAUGGGUACUAGGCUCAAUAACUGGGUGAUACAAUAAUCUGUACCACAAAUUUCCAUGAGACAAGUUUACCUAUGUAACAAACCUGCACAUACACCCUGGAACUUAAAGUUAAAAUAAUAAAAAUAGUUUAAAAUAUUGGAGAAAAAAAAGCAUGAAAACUUGUUCAUAAUGUUGUUAAGCUUC
rnacentral:lncRNA from 10 species